rnacentral:rRNA from 1 species
AUACGGAGGGUGCAAGCGUUGUUCGGAAUCACUGGGCGUAAAGGGCGCGCAGGCGGUUGGGUAAGUCAGAUGUGAAAGCCCACGGCUCAACCGUGGAAGUGCAUUUGAAACUGCCAGACUUGAGUACCAGAGGGGAAAGUGGAAUUCCCGGUGUAGAGGUGAAAUUCGUAGAUAUCGGGAGGAAUACCGGUGGCGAAGGCGACUUUCUGGCUGGAUACUGACGCUGAGGCGCGAAAGCGUGGGGAGCAAACAGGAUUAGAUACCCUGGUAGUCC